rnacentral:lncRNA from 10 species
CCCACACACACUCCAGCCCAGCUGUCUACAGUGAUAAAUGAUGGGCCUUUCUUUAAAUUUCCUUUCUGCUCUGCGUGAGGACUGGCCAGUGUGGAUAUGUACUCGACACGGAUAAAUGGCUCUGGCAAGCCCACCAGACUGUCCACGUGGCAACAGAUGGUCCAGCUCAAAGCUUUUGUUGUGCUAAUGUUGGAACUUGCUGCUACCUGAAGCAGUUAUCGUUUCAUAAACAAUGAUGCUGCCACUGCUCUGUGGAUAAACUGUCCUUUAUACUUUGCAGGGCCCACCAUGGGUGUUGACGGCUUCAUGAUGGUAAGAAGAGAACCCCCAGUCAUCCAGCUGGCGUGGCAGCCAAAGAGAAACACUUAAUCGGAUGGAGAUGAGAGCCCACCAGAGCAUAUAAUAGUCGCUGCUCCAAGAAGGCUGAGAUUCUAGGAUGCACGCACAGCCCACUCUCAACUCAUGACCUCCUCUGUGCCCAGGGAGCAGAACCUGCUAAUGAGAGGAACAGAAAAACCCACACAGAGUCUGGCUCCAUCAUCCAGGCUGGAGUGCACUGGCAUGAUCUUGGCUCACUGCAGCCUCUACCUCCUGAGUUCAAGCCAUUCUGCUGCCUCAGACUCCCUAGCAGCUGGGACUACAGGUGCGAGCCACCACGUCCAGCUAAGUUUUUGUAUUUUUAAUAGAGACAGGGUUUCACCAUGUGGGCCAGGCUGGUCUCAAACUCCUGACCUUCAGUGAUCCACCCAAUUCGGCCUUCCAAAGUGCUGGGAUUACAGGCGUGGGCCACCAUGCCUGGCCUAUUCUAGGUAUUUUAAAAAAAUGCAUUAAAAUGCCUGCAAAUACAGUGCCAGUUUUUUAAGGAAUAUUCCAUCCCUAAAACUCUCUAAUUAUUUGUGCCUUGUUUCCCCCUCAGAGGAGAGUGAAAUAUUUCCCCAAAUAGAAGGUUAACAGUUGGGAUUGUUUUUGUCAGUUUUGCUUUGUCUCCCCCCAACCCUGCCUCAUCACUAUUGUGAGAGAGAAUGCACAUUUUUUCUACCCACGGUAAAAUUGACAACGGAAACACUGUCUUCUCCAAUUCCCAAUGCACUGCACCACUGCUGCAGACAAACAGUGAGUCUGAAGUGAAGCGGGAGGGAGUUGGUAGAAAUAAGGCCCCACCCAGCGUGAAGCUUCCAGAUGAUCUGGGGGCCACGCGAUGCAGGUGCUAUCAGCAAGUAGCAGGCUGCAUGGCUGGCUUGUGAGUUAUUGCUGUGGUCACAAGAUCUCCUUGCUGUAGCAUUCUGCGUGUGUAGGUGAUAAAUCUUAGGGACACGAGGGAACACAUCAGGCUUCUCUCCUCUGGCCCAUUAUUUUUCUCCUACAUCAUUUAGAAAAGUGCAGGUCUGGACCUUUUAAUUUUUUUUUUUUUUUUGAUCAUGAAUGUUUUCUUCAGCUCCAUGCCACAUUUCCUUCUGCAUGUUCAAUUUUCACAAUGGAGUGUAUUUUUAAAGCGUGGCUCAAUAGAAGAUGAGAGAACAGAAACCUUAAGCAGGAGACAAGAGAAAGAGACAAAUACACGCAUUUGCUCUCUUUGUUCUCUUGCGAAUGGCGAUGUGAAAGUCUGGUGGAGUCAGAUAUAGUUCCUGCUUGCAAAGGGAGCAAAAGGGAAAGAAACUUACAUCUUUUAAGACCAUGCUAUGUACCAAAAUCUACACUAGUCUGCAGAGAGAGCACGUCAUUGUGGUCAAACGCGUCUAUACUGCAAGUCAACGUCCCUGGGUUCAAAUCCCAGCUCCUCCUCUUGCAGUUGGAUGCCUUGAACAAAUGACUUGAUGUCUUCACCUGUAAAAUGGGCAUAAUACUAAUCCCUACAUCACCGGACAUUUUAAAAUUUAGAUUAAGUUAAACACAACAUGAAAUUAAGCAUGUUUAAAAGUAUAAAUAAGUGGCAUUUAGUACAUUCAGAAAGUUGUCACCUCUAUCUAGUUCCAAAGCAUUUUAAUCACCUCUAAAAUAAAUCUUGUAUCCAUUAAACAGUCACUCCCCAUUUCCUCCAUCCCAGCGCCUGCCAGCCACUCAUCUACUUUCUAUCUGUAUAGAUUUCUUUCUUCUGGAUGUUUCCCAUAAGUAGAAUGAUGCUAUAUGUGACCUUUUGCAUCUAGCUUCUUUCACUUAGCAUAAUGCUUUUGGGAUUCAUUUACAUUGUAACGUACAUCAGUACUUCAUCCCUUUUUUAUGGCUGAGUAAUAUUCCAUUAUUUGGAUAUGUACAUUUUGUCUUUCUAUUCAAACAUUGAUGGAUAUUUGAGUUAUUUCCACCUUUCAGCCAUUGUAAAUAAUGUUACCAUGAACAUUCAUGCACAGGUAUUUGAAUACUUCUUUUAAAUUCUUUUGAGUAUAUACAGUUAUUUCUCAUUAUUCCCAGUAGUUAUGUUCUAUUAAUACAUAGCAAACACUGAAUUAUCAAAUACUAAAUCCUAGCUAAGAGAAAUAUAUCUGUUUCUCUAUCUAUUAUCUAUCUAGAUAGCUAGCAAGCUAUCAUCUAUCUAGUGUGUGUGUGUGUGUCUGUGUGUGUGUGUGUGUGUCUGUGUGUCUGUGUGUGGUAACUCAUCCUGGGAGAUUCUAUUUUAUUUUACAAAAUAGAAAAUAAAAUUCAGAAGUGCUGGAGUGGCCGAGUGCAGUGGCUUACGCCUGUAAACCCAGCACUUUGGAAGGCCCAGGCAGGCGGAUCCCUGAGGUCAGAAGUUCAAGACCAGUGUAGCAAAACCCUGUCUCUACUACAAAUGCAAUGCAAAAAAAAAAAAAAAAGAAAGAAAUUAGCCAGCAUGGUGGCACGCACCUGCAGGCUCAGCUACUUGGGAAACUAAGGCAGGGG